CGCCCGCCCCGGCCCCGGCCGCCGCCGCCGCCUCACCCUCGGCCGCCUGCAAAGUCUGCAGGAGCUGGCGCGCUUCCUCCUCCUCCUCUUCGGUCGCCGCCGCCGCCACCGCCUCCCCCCCAGCCGCCGGCCCCGCGCUCGGCUCCGCAGGCAAGGCCGCGCUUUUUGCCAACCCCGGCGUGUGCCUCUGGCUCAGGGCCUCAGUUUCCCCAUCGGGACAAUGGAGAAGGUAACGGGCCGUCCGGGAGGGCUAAGGGCGCGAAGCCACCUCCGCCCCGAGACUGAGCUUCUGCACGCCUCCGUCUCCAGGGUCCUCUGUAGGCCCCCCCACUCCCCAUCUCGGCCUGCGCUCCGCCCCUCGGAAUUCCCGGCUCCGCAGGGGGGCGGGUCUGGCAGGGAGAGGGGGCGGGGGAACAGGCCAGAAAGUUUACAGCAACUUUUCUUGAGCGUAAGUCCCUGGAACGGAUGCGCGUGGCCCGCGCAGGCGCAGUGGUAGGAGGAUGGCCGCGCGCGCCGGCGGCCCAGCCCCCUUCUUCCCCGCGAUCGAGUGACACAGCUGGGCCACAGCUGGACGAGGGGCGGUGCCUCCGGGUGGCCCACUCGCCUUCUCCUAUUGGCCGGACGCCGAAGCCACGCCCCUCAGUCUCCGCCCCCAGCCCUGAUUCACCCACUUCGCGUCCCGCUAGCUCCCUGCUCGGCCAUUGGCCGCCUCCGGGCGCCCUCGAUUGGCCGGUUGAGCAGCCUCCGCCGCAGAGCAAACAGAGCGGACACGGCGGAGCGCCAAGCUGGGACAGACGAGAGGGCCUUUUAUUCGCGAGGAUCGGGGGUGGGGUCCUACGUGGGGAGAGACAAUAAAUACCGAGGAAUGUC